rnacentral:rRNA from 1 species
UACGGGGGGGGUAAGCGUUGUUCGGAAUUACUGGGCGUAAAGGGCUCGUAGGCGGCCAACUAAGUCAGACGUGAAAUCCCUCAGCUUAACUGGGGAACUGCGUCUGAUACUGGAUGGCUUGGAUUCGGGAGAGGAAUGCGGAAUUCCAGGUGUAGCGGUGAAAUGCGUAGAUAUCGGGAGGAACACCGGUGGCGAAGGCGGUUCUCUGGGCCUGUACUGACGCUGAGGAGCGAAAGCGUGGGGAGCGAACAGG